AAAGACAUGCAAGGAUCCAAGAGCAGUGUCAAGAGAAGAAAACGUGAAGAUGGUAUUGCCCCAGAUGCUGAAUCUUGUGAAAGACAAUAUGACACAUGUCCACUGGAACAGAGUCACAUCACUGAAG